AAUACCGCAUAUAGCUAUAUAGUUGCAUGAUUAUGUAGUGAAAGAUUUAUUGGUAUAGGAGGAGUCUGCGGCACAUUAGCUAGUAGGUGAGGUAAAGGCUUACCUAGGCGACGAUGUGUAGCCGGUCUGAGAGGAUGAACGGCCACAAUGGAACUGAGACACGGUCCAUACUCCUACGGGAGGCAGCAGUGGGGAAUAUUGCACAAUGGGGGAAACCCUGAUGCAGCAACGCCGCGUGAGUGAAGAAGGUUUUCGGAUUGUAAAGCUCUGUUAGCAGGGAAGAGGAAGGACGGUACCUGCAGAGGAAGCCACGGCUAACUACGUGCCAGCAGCCGCGGUAAUACGUAGGUGGCAAGCGUUGUUCGGAAUAACUGGGCGUAAAGGAUGCGUAGGCGGUUAAACAAGUUAUAUGUUAAAUAUAUAGGCUUAACCUGUAGAAAGCAUAUAAAACUGUUUAACUAGAGUGCAGGAGAGGUAAGUGGAAUUCCUAGUGUAGCGGUGAAAUGCGUAGAGAUUAGGAAGAACACCAGUGGCGAAGGCGACUUACUGGACUGUAACUGACGCUGAGGCAUGAGAGCAUGGGGAGCAAACAGGAUUAGAUACCCUGGUAGUCCAUGCUGUAAACGAUGGGUACUAGGUGUGGGUUGUGAAUAACAAUUCGUGCCGUCGC
rnacentral:rRNA from 1 species